rnacentral:sRNA from 1 species
AUCUCCUUGACAGCCUGUGCCUUUGGGCUGGGGAGGGGGCAGGAAAGCCAGGUGGCUGCUCUGUCCCCUACGUGGGGCUGAUGAAGACACCCAGCAGCCCUCAGGUCCUUCUCCACCCCUAGGUUGAAAGAUCUGUUCUACCGCUCCAGCAACCUGCAGUACUUCAAGCGGCUCAUUCAGAUCCCCCAGCUGCCUGAGAACCCACCCAACUUCCUGCGAGCCUCAGCCCUGUCAGAACAUAUCAGCCCUGUGGUGGUGAUCCCUGCAGAGGCCUCAUCCCCCGACAGCGAGCCAGUCCUAGAGAAGGAUGACCUCAUGGACAUGGAUGCCUCUCAGCAGAAUUUAUUUGACAACAAGUUUGAUGACAUCUUUGGCAGUUCAUUCAGCAGUGAUCCCUUCAAUUUCAACAGUCAAAAUGGUGUGAACAAGGAUGAGAAGGACCACUUAAUUGAGCGACUAUACAGAGAGAUCAGUGGAUUGAAGGCACAGCUAGAAAACAUGAAGACUGAGAGCCAGCGGGUUGUGCUGCAGCUGAAGGGCCACGUCAGCGAGCUGGAAGCAGAGCUGGCCGAGCAGCAGCACCUGCGGCAGCAGGCGGCCGACGACUGUGAAUUCCUGCGGGCAGAACUGGACGAGCUCAGGAGGCAGCGGGAGGACACCGAGAAGGCUCAGCGGAGCCUGUCUGAGAUAGAAAGGAAAGCUCAAGCCAAUGAACAGCGAUAUAGCAA